GCAACAGUAGUGUAUUUCUUCAAGUUCUAGAGGCUGAGGGUGAAGACCAAGAUGCCUGGCUCUGUUCUUCUGGGCACUCAUGGCCAUUUCCAAUCACACAGCCUAUUGCACCACAUGCUGCAAUGGAGCCUCUGCAGCGGGAGACACAGGGGGCUCCCUCUUCAUUUGCCAUGGCCUUAGAGAAGAGCUGGAGUUUUAUGGUUUGGGCUUGACUUGGAGUCACUGGUGAGGGCUCAUCUCCAUCCUAGAUACCAGUUAUUUUACAAAAACAACAAGCUACUGGGAGAGAAUGAAACUGUUGGUAAGUGACCGGGCGAGAACAUCCUGGAAAAAAGGGUAAGUAUUUGCUGGAAUGAAGCUUCAUGUAUGGUUAAAUUUUGUGACUCUUUUGAUCCAGAAGUAUAUACAAUCAACAAGGUAUUGUUUUAGCUGAUCGUAAUCAGUGAAGAAUGAUUACAUUUUUUUUUCAAGGAGUCUAAGAUGGUGACCAUUCAAUCUCUCAUACGUAUGGCCUGAGCUGCCUGUUGGUAACAUCUGCUGAAUACUGAAGACAUAUCUAAGAAUUACUCAUAAUUUAUCUUGGAGUUUAGAAACCUGGGCUGAGUUUGUUGUAGGGAACCUGGAGCAGGAAACGGCAACCAUUUAUUAGCUUUCAUAGGUCAGGUUCUGUGCAGGGGGCUCUUUUCUCUUGCAUGAGUUACCUAGGUUCAUGACAAUGAACUAUUUCUAGGCUGAGCUAGAUACUGUGUUUUAUGCAGGCAAAACUGGUGAUAUCAUAUGACACACUAAACAUUAUUCCGAGUUUUGAUGAUGAAAACAUACUAACCCACACUGAACAUUUUUUUGUCAUAAUAUAUUUCCCUCGGCCCUACUCUUUCCAAGCUUUCCAUUUCAACAAAUAAAGAAAUGUGUCCCAAACAUCUAGAAGGGUUUAUAAUGAAAUUAAUCACUGCAUCCCCAACCUCUGAGUUUCUCAACUACCGGGUAUUUGCUAGAACAUAACUUCUGAAUUUCCAGAGAAUACUUAGAUACUGUCACUGACCAAGGCACCUCACCUUUGGAGCCACUGGGGAACAUGGGUACUAUCUCCAAGAGCAAACCUUUAGGAAUAACUUCCUUUCCUCUUCAAAGUCUGAAACCACACCAAGACAGCUAGAUUUCUCUAAAAAAUUUGUCAAAUCUGACAUUGUGUUCACUGAUGCUUAGUUCGUAGGCUCUUAUCUGGAACAAGUUAGAAAGUUAUCCCUUUAAUUUUGAAAGAUCUGUCCAUUUAAAUAAUGAUAAUUCCAGAAUAAGCAUUCCACGGGACGUGUUGUCAUGAAAGCCUAUGGUUUAGAGCACUGGAAUUGAGGGGAGGAUGGAGAUGGGGCAUGGUGGGCUCCAUGGAUGGGAUAAUGCAAUGGAGAUUUGCAUCCAGUUUGAGGUUAUGUUAAAAACUCUCCCUGAGAAAACGCAACCGCAAACCAUCAUUUCUACUUUACAGAUACGGAAAUGGUUCUGCCCUUGGCCGACUUGCAGGAGAGCCUGGCUCUACUGUUGGGAGAGAAGAUUAAUGGUUAGGAAGUGGUGACACACUGCAUAUUUCAGUUUAGUACACGUGGGGCUCUCUUACUCCUUUAAUUUCUUUCUUUCACCCAUAUUGCUAAACAAAAAAAAAUUUGCAAAAACAAGAAGCAAGAGUAAAACUUAACUUUGGUGAAACAAUUAUGAAAUCCUUGCUUAAGCAAUCCAAAUAUUCAGAAUAAUAAGCGGCUCCCCCAAUUGUUAGCUGUAUCACUCUGGUACACGCAAAAUGACAAUUUUAAUUCACAGGCUAAGCAGAAUCUUUUCUCUUUUGGAAAUGAUAGUUUUAGGAAUCUGAGGCGUCUGCUUUUGUUUCUUACUUACCCAUGUCCUUGGAGUUAUCUCUUCUUUUUGCUCUAUAAUCUCUUCUGUUUCCUUUGUUCCUGCAUUUAUCUCAUUAACUUUCUCUUUGACCCAAUUUGCUUUAAUCCACCCAAUUCCUUUCUCUAUGUGUUUUUUAUUCAAUGGAUGUGAGAUACGUCUUAACCUAUCAGGGCUUUUCCGGAAGCUUUAUUGGGCUUUGCCUUGAAUGGAAAGUAAUAGUAACUGUUUUUGUUAAACCAAAAGAACUCCCAGGAAAUACCGAAGAGAUAGCACUACUUUUUAGAAUUUACAAAGAACAAAAGAGCUGGGGAAAUUUCUUAGUAGGCAAUUAUGUUUAAAAAAAAUAGAUUAUAAUGGCCAUUCUUCAUUUCUAAGAAGAGGCAACUUUUAAAUAAUUGGAGAGGCAGCGUUGCUCAGAAAAAUGGAACCACUGAGCACAGACUUUAAGAUAUACACCAGCCUUGCUUUAUGCCGCCUGCACAAGUAUCUCUCUCCUCUUCUGUGAGUACAGGCUUUCUCACCCGUCAAAGGGUAGCACUAAUAGCUCCCUGCCGAGUUCUGGUAAGGGUGAAAUGAAACACGGACCUCAAAUGUCUGUGGUUACCACUGUCCUCCAGCCUAUUACAGCCACAGCAGCUCAUUCAAACAGGACAGGAGACGUUGACCUCAUGGAGCUUGUAAUCUAUCAAAAGAGACAGAUUCAAACAAAUAAUCAUACACAAAAUAAACUCUAAUGAAAGCAAGGAUGGGAAAUACACCAAAUAAUGCAAUGUGGUAGAGGAAGUUCAUUGUGCUAUGAAGACAGGCAAUAGGGGCCUAACUUAGUCUGCAGUUAGAGGUGGUCAUGUGUGGCUUUUCUCAUUCCAGCUGAGGUCUCCCGUGUGUGCCUAAGAUCAACUGGAUAAUAGAUGAGGGAAAGAGGCACAUACAGAGGCAGCAUCAUGUCUAAAGCACCAGAGAAACAAGCCCUCAGCACAUCUGAUGAACUCAUCAAAGUCCAGGAACACCAGAAGUUAAUAUACCAAGGGACGGGGAGCCUGAGAGCACCUCAAAGGCUUUGGAAGAGCCGGUCGGGUUUUCCUCUUGAAUCUGCUGCAUUCGAGCAGACUAGGGAGAAGUGGGGUCUCUGCUGGGGGCUCCUAGAGAUGUCCCAAUGAAGGAGGUUGUGUCUUGAGUGAUGGUGGUGGGAAGCGGUGGGCACAGUGCUGUAAGAUACGCAACAGAAUCGUAGGUUUUUUGAAUCCCUGACUAGGUACAAGGUACAAAGAUGUGGAUGAUCUGUGUGAUUUGUAGGAUUCUGUUUAGAGUAGGUUUGUGUGAAGAAGGACGCUAAAAAGAAAUCUCACACUAGCUCAGAACUGAGUAUAAUAAAAGGUUAUUUAUUUAGGGGUGGACUCACAGAUCACAGUCCUCUGCUGGAAUGGGGAACAGCAACCGAAUCCCGUGCGCUUUACAUCAGCAUAAAUAGUAUAAGAGGCCACGCCCAAGUGGGCAGGUAACUUAAAGGCUACUGGUGGUAGGAAUUCCUAUAGCAUUUUUCUCUCACAAGAACCAGAUUUGAAAGGGAAGCUUAUUUGUCCUGGUUUGGACAUGUGAUACCAACUAUUGGAUAAGACGGUCUGGUGAACAGUUCAGUGCAGAGACAGAAAUUGGGCAAAACAGAUGAGAACUUAGAUAGUGCUGGCUUUUCUAUCCCUUGAGUCCAGGGAAACAUAGUCCCUUCCUAGUUUUCUUCCCCGGCACUCUCUCACCUACGACACAUAAAUGUCUGUAUAACUUUAAAAUCAAAUUUCCAUAUCAAAUUUGAAAACCAGGAACAUAGAGAAAUGGCGAUACUUAAAUAUAGCUAGUAAUUAGUGUUUAUAGCGAGGGAACUAUAUUUUUUUAAUUGGUUGCAAUUGAAGAACAUAUUGGUUAGAUAAUUAUCUGGGUUCUGAUUUCCACUGAAAGCAUUUGCAGAUUGAGUAGCAAAUUCUAUUCUCAUACUUCAUGAAUUUUUAAUUAUGAUAUUUUUUUCACACUAUCAUCUUGCCUUGUGACAAGAGAUAAUAAAAAGGACAAGUAGCAGCUGGAACAACUUACUCAGUCACUCACCUGCUUGUUCAUCUAGCUGAGGAAAGAUAGUGCAGUGUUAACAAAGAGACUGUUGGGACUCACCUGCCUGGGCUUAGGUCCAAGUUCUGCCUCUGCAGGAACCUAUGCUGAGGAAGGUUAGUUCAGCUUUCAUACCUGUGUUUCUAUUUUUAUAAAAAUGCAUGUAGCAGUAAUAUUCAUGCCGGAGGAUUUCGAAAGUAUCAAAUGGCUUAAUAGGUUAAGACACGUAGGACGCAGUCUGGCCUAAGCUAAGUGUUCUAUAUAAUGUUAGUAUAUACAGCGACAAAGACACGAGCUGUGAUUUGACCUUCAGGAAGUUUAUUGCGAAGAUUUUGGACAAGGAGAUGGUUGGAUGAAAGGGGGAUAAACCUGAUGAACACACAGGAGGGCAAGGGAACGUUUCUAGCCACGCCCUAUUUUAGGCCUGACACACGAGCGCAUUGCAGUAUGGGAAAUCUACUUGCCCGUACACUCUUGGGUAGAAGCUUAUAUGGUGUGACCCUGCACCAUCCACCACAGGUUCACACUUCCCGGAAUUCGUCCAUAGCUAGCUGCCCUGUUUGGGGAGGCCAUGGAACCUUGAAGAUGUGGGGGUCUAGCUGGCAGGAGUCACCAGGAAUGGAUCUUUGAAGGUGCUUCCCAUCCCCGUGCCUGCCUCAAUUCACCAUGCACUCUUGUAGGCAUGGCUCGAGCUUCUCCAACGUGCCUUCCCUUCCACGCUUUACUGAAACCUGAAACUGCUAGCCAAAUAAGCCUUCCUUCCCUCAGGUUGUUUCUAUUAACUACUAAGGUUCUAGCUGGGUGAUGGUGGAGCACGGCUUUAAUCCCAGCAGAGGCAGAGGCAGGCGGAUCUCUGGGAGUUUGAGGACAGCCUAGUACACAAAGCAAGUUCCAUGACAGGCUCCAAAACUUCAGAGAAACCCUGUCUUGAAAAAACAAAACAAAAAAGUAUUAUGGUCACAACGACACAGCAGCAAUAACUGAUUUAUAAAAAAAAAGACUGCGUUUGCGUAUCGAUCUACAAUUGUCAAGGUAAUUAUGAGUUAAAUUAGAGAAUUUUUGAAAUCUUUUUUUGGAGCAUUUCGCUGAGGCCCCAUUAAAAAUGAGAUAUUUCCAAUCUUAAAGACUAUAUAGUGUAUUGUGACUUUUUAAAUGUUUUAUUAUUCAAUAAAGCUCGGGAGUCAAACAUUAGGGAACAAAACUGAUUGAUCCACAAAGCGACAGAGAAGAUCCCUUCCCCCUCUUUUCACCCUUCCGUUUGGAAAGACCAUGA